GUUGGAUUAACCACAAAACCGAGAUAAAUAGUGUUCCCACCACUUGGUUGAUCAACUUCAGCAAACGUAUCACCUAUAACUCCACAUUACAAUCAAGGGAAGCACACCAAAAAAGGAAGUGAAAAAAUGGCUACAUUACAACCUCAAACAUGCUGCACCCCUGACAGGUUAUGUACAGAGCAGUCAGAUCAAAUCUAUUUUCAACGCAGAAUUUUGGUUUUAACCUGCAUCCUUGAUCGAGAUGGUCUGAAUGAGCUUCAUCCAACCUAUUUCGUAACACCUCUAGAUUGACCUCAUCAUCUCUGUUGAGCCUGAGUCCACAAGGAGAGCAAUAGAUAUGAUGACAGUCCUCUUUCAACUCUCCUUGCUUGCAGAUGGGACACCAAACCUCCUUGCCAGCCUUCUCAUUGAGGUUCAUGUGCUCGUACACUGCACGAGCCAAAUACUCAUCUUCUUCAUCCUCCCAAGUUUCAUUUGAAACUUGCUCUUUUGUUUCUUCCAUCCUGAGAUCUUCAUAGAAA
rnacentral:misc_RNA from 1 species